ACAGAGUUUGUCGUUGCGUUUAAU
rnacentral:miRNA from 14 species